AUAAUACUCCCUUCAUUCAGAAAUACUUGUCCUAGAAAUGGACAAAAUGAAUGUAUCUAUAACUAAAAUAAGUCUAGAUACAACCAUUUUUAGGGCAAGUAUUUCUGGACGGAGGGAGUAUAUU
rfam:Triticum aestivum genome assembly, contig: Triticum_aestivum_CS42_TGACv1_scaffold_542711_6DS